UCGAGAAUCUUCGGCAAUGGGCGCAAGCCUGACCGAGCGACGCCGCGUGGAGGACGAAGGCCUUCGGGUUGUAAACUCCUGUCGAGGGGGAGGAAAAGGCGGCGAAGAGCCGCCCCUGACCGAUCCCUGGAGGAAGCACGGGCUAAGUUCGUGCCAGCAGCCGCGGUAAGACGAACCGUGCGAACGUUAUUCGGAAUCACUGGGCUUAAAGCGCGUGUAGGCGGGCCGGCACGUCGGCCGCUGAAAUCCCCCGGCUCAACCGGGGAAGCGGCGCCGAUACGACCGGCCUGGAGGGGAGUAGGGGGGCCUGGAACUUCCGGUGGAGCGGUGAAAUGCGUUGAGAUCGGAAGGAACGCCCGUGGCGAAAGCGAGGCCCUGGACUCCUGCUGACGCUGAGACGCGAAAGCCAGGGGAGCGAACGGGAUUAGAUACCCCCGUAGUCC
rnacentral:rRNA from 1 species